CCUACGGGAGGCAGCAGUCGGGAAUAUUGCGCAAUGGAGGAAACUCUGACGCAGUGACGCCGCGUGCAGGAAGAAGGUUUUCGGAUUGUAAACUGCUUUAGACAGGGAAGAAAAAAGACAGUACCUGUAGAAUAAGCUCCGGCUAACUACGUGCCAGCAGCCGCGGUAAUACGUAGGGAGCAAGCGUUAUCCGGAUUUAUUGGGUGUAAAGGGAGCGUAGACGGCAGUGCAAGUCUGAAGUGAAAGGCAAGGGCUCAACCCUUGGACUGCUUUGGAAACUGUGCUGCUGGAGUGUCGGAGAGGCAAGUGGAAUUCCUAGUGUAGCGGUGAAAUGCGUAGAUAUUAGGAGGAACACCAGUGGCGAAGGCGGCUUGCUGGACGAUGACUGACGUUGAGGCUCGAAAGCGUGGGGAGCAAACAGGAUUAGAUACCCCAGUAGUC
rnacentral:rRNA from 1 species